UACGUAGGGUGCAAGCGUUAAUCGGAAUUACUGGGCGUAAAGCGUGCGCAGGCGGUUCUAUAAGACAGAUGUGAAAUCCCCGGGCUCAACCUGGGAACUGCAUUUGUGACUGCAUCGCUGGAGUGCGGCAGAGGGGGAUGGAAUUCCGCGUGUAGCAGUGAAAUGCGUAGAUAUGCGGAGGAACACCGAUGGCGAAGGCAGGUCUCUGGGCUGACACUGACGCUCAUGCACGAAAGCGUGGGGAGCAAACAGG
rnacentral:rRNA from 1 species